CGUCUCGCGUCGCCCCACACUCUGCACGGCUCCCGCUGCCUCAACUCCCAGCAGACUCCGCAGCGGGGCCAAGCGCCGCCACUCGGGGGACGCGAAAACGCUGGCCGCCCGCGCCCCUCUGGAAAACGAACUAGCCCCACUCCCUGUGCCCAAGCCAUUAUUCCCCUGCCCCCACCACCGGAAGAACUGCCCUUCCCCGAUGACGGGUGGGGUGGGAAACUUUGUGCAAGGACCAUGCCGCCCCUCUUUCGCGUGGCGUCCGAGAGGAACAUGGGUGGGUUUCCCAUCAGAGGCCUGACCACACCCUCCCACUUAUCUAGGCCUCGGACCUCAACCGCGUGGACUACGGAGCAGAGGGUAACACUUCAGGCCACUCCGGGAGGGGGGCACCGAAGUCAGGCGUCCUCAAGCACUCUGGCUGCUGACCAAGUUCGUGUUCUUUCCAUCCCACGCCGGAGUAGCGCUCGCUACUUCGGGGAAGCGUGAAACUCCUCAUCCCCGGCCACGAGGCCACCCCUGUCUUUAAGACCACAUAAGGAACACCAUGAUCGUGCAUCUGUGCAGCUUGUUCCAGAGUCCCAGCCCUCACCAGCUCUGAGGUCACAUCUCUUGGAAGGCAGUCAUCUACUUCAACCAACAGCUUGGAGACGGCUGGGCAGUAGGACCACAUCUGCCAUUUAGAACAGCCUACCACUGGUGCUCUGGGCCGUCCGGCUCCUUCCAGUGGUCCAAGAGAGGAUGCGAUUUUUAAAAAUGCAUGUAUUCAGGGGAUCUUCCGAACCCAGGGAUCGAACCUGGGUCUCUCUUGUUGUGGGCAGACUCUUUACCGUAUGAGGCACCAGGGAAGCCCAUAAGCAGCUACAUCUCCAGCCUGCUUCCUGUACCUGGUGGGGGACACAGUGCUUCUCCGCCUUCAGGAAACAGCCCACUUGUCAGCAGCUGGGCUCCCAGGAACAAAGGCCUAGGUUCAUUACCACAGUAUCGACCCUGACACGUUGCACUCGGGCCACCUCCCCCAGAGUUCCUCAAUUCACACCCCAAAUGAAGCGUAAUUGGACCUGGACAUCUUUGAAGUCCCCCGAGCAGCUUGCCAGCAUUUUGAAAUGUCCUUGAUUUGCAUGGUGAAAACCUGGCUGGAGGUGACUUUUUUUCUUUUCCCUCAUCCCACAGUUUUAAAGACAGAAUGAUUUUAAAUGACAUUCCCCAGACAGGGGAGAGUUACCAUGGAAGAAAUAAAAAUUCUCAAAGCCCCAAAAAGAAAAGGCAAAAGAAGUCCAAGGUUUUGCUGCAUCGUUCAUGUGUCCCUUUACUUGGUUUCUGUCCUGUGAGGGCCGCAUACCACGCCAGGGUUUCCUCUCAACCUCUUCCCCAGACCCCAGACCUGAAGGGCUGACAAGGAUCCAGGAAGCUUGGCUGGGAGCUUCUGCAGGCUGGCAGGUUGCUGUCAGAUCUGAAGCAAGAACGCGAGUCCCACCACAGGCCGGGUGAAGAAGCAAGCUCUGCCCACUGUAGAUUCUCCAGGAACAUUUGUCUACUGUGGAAUGAAUCAGAAGUCGCGCCCUCCCUCUGACAGCUGCAGGGGGAGAGGGUGGAGGAAUCAUCCAGGGAAUGUGAGGGCAGUGGGGGCCACGUGGUAAGGAGGAAGGUUCUCCCUUGUCCCUUUCGAAGGCCCCUGAGGAUGUGGCCGAGGAGCCCAGCCCUGCGAAGUUGUGGUGGAGGAAGGAAGCUGUGUGGUAAUGUGGUUAGAGCUCGGCAAACCCGGCUCCAAAAGCCAGCGCUGUUGUGUGACUGGUGUGCACCUCAGUUUCCUCUUGAAUAAAACUGGAAUGACUUCUGGGCUGGUAAUGGGGAUUAAGGGAGAUCAGGUGAGUGACGGCCCAGGCACAGCAUGGGUUUAGGAGAUGGCUGUUCCUGGGGUUGAUUCAGACCUGUGCUUUUGCGGGAGUGGAGCCCUAAGUAUAUAAAUCAUUAACUCCUCACAGGUAUGUUUGCUGUGCCCUGGGGUUUUCCAGGGGCAGGCUUUCCCAGCAACCCCAGAGCCUUGCUACUCAGAGGGCUCAGGGACCGGAAGCAGCCUCCCCCGAGGGCCUAUUAGGACCCCCUCAGAUGCUCCCCAGACCUGCUGAAUCAGAAUUUGUAUAUUAAGAUUACCCCAGGCGAGUCAUAUGCACACUGAAGUUUGAGAAGCACUUUAGAAACUCCUUGUGAAGUUUGCAAUGUAGAAAUGACUAUUCUCAUUCUGAGAAUGAGAACACUUCCUCAGAGUCUGAGAAUUGAAGGCUUCCUUUGCCCAAGCCCACAAGGUCUUCUAGGAAGAGGUCUGGUGACUCCUAUGGGUCCUAAAUAACUUUCCUACCCUUGACUGUUCCCUGAAGGACCAGCAUGCUUUAGGCCAGGGUGGAGAUAAGCAAGGCCAGGGCCAGGGACUCAUCUGCCAAUAGCCACGAUAGCCACGAAGGGGCUGGGAAAGCUACCUGCUGUAGAAGGGCUGUGUGGACUCCACCCUGAGGAGUAUGAGGUCUUGGCCCUGGGGCUUGAGUUCUGAUGACAAAAGAGGCCAGGAAAAAAAUGUCCCGUCAAUACAUACCCGCAUUCCUGUGUUAAAGUGGAAUUUUCCAAAGGUGAAAACACUUGACUUGCAUGCAAAUAUAAAAUGACCACAUGUCAAAGAUUUAAUUUAACUCAUUCCUUAAUGAGGAAACGUCUAAGAUGUUAAAUCCGGUUACAGCGAGAAUGUGAGGAGCUCAGUAUUUAUAGGCAAUUUAAUAGAAGAAUCUUAGGGUGAGACAGCUAGGUUAGAAAUUAUUUGCAUCUCUACCAGACAAAAAUCUGAAAGUUAACCAACCUCUGCCGCUAUGGGAUUGUAAAAUAGCCCAGUCAAUAGGAAAUCAAUCAAAGGUGCCAGCCCUGCACGGUGCAGCAAGAACACCCAAUAAUCUCUUUCGCCUAUUUCCAAUUUUGGAUAAUUUUUUCUGACACUACCCUCGGUGAGUCCUUGAGAAUCCGGAAAUUGCUCUUGCCUGAGAAUUAUCCUCAGAAUGGAAUGUGGGUCUUGGAAGGAAAGGAGGAAUAAAAGAUGAGCAAGCCCAUCUUCUGAAAGAUGAUGAGUGUGUUUUCCCGGCUACCUUUCCUCUGUCCUGCAAGGUACUGUGCGACUGCCUUCAGAGGGUGUGAGCUGGCAUUGUGAUAGAGAAAGCAACUAUUCACGGAAAGGACACCGGACAGCCUGCUCCUGACUCCCAUUCCCUUUAACCUUGGCCGCUAUACAGAGGGGGAUGAUGUAUCCACAAACAUAUGCAGCCUUGUCCAAAAUAUUUUCCCCUCCUGUAUAGUUCUUGCCAAUAUUGUUAAUCUGUGGGUUGACUUCAGACCAAAAUAAAUCUCCCAGCCCUGGCCACCAGCUAGCUAAUUUUACUUUGUAACCAGGGAAUAGAAAGUACAGGCCCUUGGCCGACCAUUCUGUGUUUAUUUGGCUUUCUCUCUGCUGCAGUUUAAAAAUCACAUUUGGAAAAGUGGACCCUCUGUGCAUAAGAACAGCCACAGAGAGAAACAACAACAAAGACGAACGGGUUGAAAAAGGCAAGUCCUUCCAUUCCCCUCCACAUUUGUCUCUCAUCUCAGGAUUCCGAUCAUCCCCACUGGCCUUUUCCACAAUGUCUAGAGUUGUAAAAUGGGCCCCAAAGCAGAAGAAUACAUGGCCAUUCUGUGAGGAUUUUCUACUGAAUAUCUCCUGGGUUCUCCUGGAGCAGUUAGAGGAAGGAAGUGGGUAGAAGUUUACCAUGUCUGCCCUUGAAGAGACCUUGGAGGGCAUCUAUUUGGUCCAGCCCAGCCCAUUGAAGGGCAGGAUUUCCUAGCGGUUGAGAGCACAGAAUUAGAGCCAGACAGCCCUGGGUUGAACUAGUUCUCCACCACUUCCUCACUGUGUGGCCUUGAAUGAGUUUACUAACCUCUGCCUCAGUUUCCUCAUCUGUCAAAUGGGGAUGGUGAUCAUCAUACCCACCUCAGAAGAUUGUAGCAAGGAUGAAAUGAAUUAACAUGUAAAGAAAGCAUCAGGAAGAGCACAGAGCAUCCAAUAAGCAUUUGAUAAGAGAAGGAAAUCAGGCUCAGAGGAGAAGCAACCUCCCCAGGGUCACUUGGGGAGUUGCCAAACUGAGUUGGACUUGGUGAAAAAGAGGAGAGGUUACUGCCUCUUGGAAAUUCUGACUAAUAGCUGUUUCUCUGCCUGUGUUACAUCAUCCUCACUCAACACUUGGCGAGACCUCACGUGGAAGUCAGGGUGCCACGUUCCAGUCCAGGCGCGCUGCUCACCCAUGGUGGCCCUCCUAGCUAAUGAGCCUGGGGCUAGAGGGUCUCUGGGGUUCCUGUUGACAUUAACAUCUUAUAAUUUGAAAUUAGGGUCUGUACCCUUCAUUCGAGUCAAGUCUGUCUUUUUCUGCAACAUUCUCUUUACUGUUUUUUUUCCUCCAUUUUCCUCUCACAUUUUGUCCAACUGUAUCCUAUGCACAUCAGCAUCUGGGUUUCCUUUUGGCCCUCCCACUCUACGCUUUCCACAUUGACCCCUCUCCCCUUCCCCUCUGCUAGGGCAAUCAUGGGCUCCCACUGGCCCACACCUAGCCCUCAGUUGCCAGGUUCAAGUUGAUUAGACAGUCUUGGAGCUGCCUUAAAAGUUACUAUGUAGGCGCCUUGAAAGUAGGAACUGGGUUUCUUCCUUUCAUGACCCACUUUAAGAGUCUAAUAGAGUGCCCUUGGCAGAGUGGCUUAUCCAUUAUGGUUUGUUGAUGGGUUCCAAAAUGAGUCGGGGAUAUUGGAUGAAAUCUUGUAUUAUCAAGGCCCCCUCUGGUACAUUUAGUACAGCUUUCAUAGAUGGAAUGGGUAUCUUAGAACAAUUAAAAUUUCAAACUUGAAAAUUUCAGGCUGCAACAUAGUAAUGUUAGAUAUUUCCUUUGCUGCCUUUCUCCCCAGCCCUAUUCCGUAUCCCCUUUCCCUAAAAUACAGGCCUGAGUCAAAUGGUAGGUUGCCACCUGUUGGUGCAGUGAGGCAUUGCAGCAUAGCUCUACAAGAUCUUGUAAAUGCCUGGAGGGAAGUGAACAGAGAUUGAAUUUCUGGGUGGUGAGUCUGUAGAGUCAGGUAUGGCCCAGAGAAAAACCUUUCGGAUUAGGUUGACCCAAAGGGCGGGGUGAGGGCUAAUAGCAGAGGGGAAUCCUGGAGUAAAAGAGACACUACUAAACACUCCAGGGGCUGUAGAGGGAAAAGUAGUCAGUUAUUUGGAGACACUAACUUCUGUAAUCCCUAAUAUUGCUAAUGUAUAUUCAGUAAAGCUCUGUACACCACUGGGCUGACUACCAAUAAUCCUGCCUUUCUCAAACCUUUGCCCUUUGUCAAUAUUGUUGGAGCCCAAUUUAAAACUCCACUAAAGAGCAAAGAAAAAUGAGAUUUCACUAUAUAUAUAGUUGGGAUGGGUUGCACUUUUAAAAGAUGCCUGCAACAAUAUCCCACAUGUUUUUCUGCAGUGUGACCCACCAUACCUCCAUCAGGUAGAGAGGUCUGUUUCUCUACUGCUUGGAACCCAGGUGGGUCCUGUGCCUGCUUUGACUGAUAGAAUGAGGUGGAUUCAGCUUUUGGGCAAUGAGUUCCUGACAUCCCAGAGCAGUACUAUUUCAGUUCACAUCUGCUGCUUCUGAUCAAAACACUGUCUUGUACUUCCUGAGAGAGAGAGAGAGAGCACUUCCUGCCAGGUGUCCCCUUGUGUCCUCCUCUGUGUGACUGUGGGGUUCAGUGUCUCUCACACAUUCUAGCAUGGUGCUUGGUACCUUAUUUGCAGGCCAUGAGAUAGAACCCAUACUCUUGCCUCCAGAAGGUCUUGUGGGUGGGAUGUGCAUUAGAUAGCAAGAGUCCACCCACACAUUUUCUUUUCAUCAACGUUAGUGAUAAUUUACACAUAAUACAAUACACCCAUUUUAAUUAUACAGAUUGAUGAGCUUUGACAAACAUAGCCCAUGUGACCACCACCCACGUAACCACUACCAUAAUCAAAGUGAAGUUGCUCAGUUGUGUCCAACUCUUGGCGACCCCAUGGACUGUAGCCUACCAGGCUCCUUCAUCCAUGGGAUUUUCCAGGCAAGAGUACUGGAGCGGGUUGCCAUUUCCUUCUCCAGGGGAUCUUCCCGACCCAGGGAUCAAACCCAGGUCUCCUGCAUUGUAGGCAGACGCUUUACCAUCUGAGCCACCAGGGAAGUCCCAUAAUCAAAGUCUAGAACAUUUUCAUCACCCCAGAGUUUUAUUGUGCCCCCUUUGCAGCCAAGCACUGAUUUGCUUUGCCCAUAGAGAUCAAUUUUUGUCUUUUCUGGUGUUUCAUAUAAAUGUAAUCAUAUAGGAUGCCCUUUUAUGUGACUUGUACUUAUGUGACUACAUAAUAUUUUGUUCAGCAUGUUUUAGAGGUUCAUCUAUGUUGUGUGUACCUAUAGUUAAUUCCUUUUUAUUGAUGAGUAGUCUGUCUUUGUGUGGAUAUAUCACAAUCUGUCUAUUCUAUUGAUGGACAUUUGGGUCAGUUAUAAAUAAAAGUGCUAUGAAUGUUCAUCUACAAGGAUUUGUGAUCAUACGUUUUCC